rnacentral:rRNA from 1 species
AUUAUCGAUUAAGAGCAUUUAGUGGAUGCCUAGACAGAAGAAGAAAAGGGACGUUAAACGCAACGAAACGCCAUAGAAAGGUGCGUCAAUCCUGAGAUCUAUGGAUUUCCCUUAAGGAAACUACGAAAUUGACAAUUACCUAGUGAACUGAAACAUCUCAGUAACUAGAGGAAAAAAAAUCAACCGAGACUCCGUUAGUAGUGGUGAGCGAACACGGAUUAGGCCUUUAUUCUUUUUUCAUUUCAUAUGUUAAAGCUGUUUGGAACAACGCGCCAAAGAAGGUGAUAGCCCUGUAAAUAGAAGAAAAUGACUAGAUAAAGAAUAAAACACAUGAGUAAAACGAAGAUCACCUUUGUUUGAAUGUGAGUGAACAGUUUAAAAAAUUGAAAAAUUGGGCAAAUUGCCACUUGGAAAGGGGGACCACCCUCUAAGCCUAAGUAUAAUCUUCUGAUCGAUAGUGAACAAGUACCGUGAGGGAAAGGUGAAAAAGACCCCUAAAUAGGGAGUGAAAAAGAUCCUGAAACUGAAUGCUUACAAGCAGUCGAAGCUCUUGUUUUAAGAAGAGUGACGGCGUACCUUUUGCAUAAUGGGUCAGCGAGUAAAUUUAUGAAGCAAGCCUAAGCUCUUAAGUAGAGGCGGAGUGAAAGCAAGCUUGAAACGAGCUCAUUUCAUUUCAUUCAAUGGAACAAAAUUGAAAAGAAAAGAGAUGGAAAAGAAAGUUUCUUAAAUUUGACCCGAAACCAAGCGAUCUAAUCAUGAGCAGGUUGAAAAAAUGAUAAUACGUUUUGGAGGACCGAACCCACAUCUGUGGCAAUAGAUGGGGAUGACUUGUGAUUAUGGGGUGAAAAGCCAAUCGAGCUUGGAAAUAGCUGGUUUUCUGCGAAAUCUAUUGAGGUAGAGCGUAUAGAGAGUAUUAAAAAGGAGGUAGAGCACUCGCUGGGUGAUGGUGGCCCAAAGCUUGACUGAUCCCAUGGAAACUCCGAAUACCUUUUUAAUCACUAUACAGACAGACUAGAGGCGCUAAGGUCUCUAGUCGAAAGGGAAACAACCCAGAUCGAACGCUAAGGUUCCAAAGCAAUCUCUGAGUGGCAAAGGAAGUUCCUAGGCUCAGACAACCAGGAGGUAGGCUUGGAAGCAGCCAUCCUUUGAAGAAAGCGUAAUAGCUCACUGGUCUAUGUCUAGUAGCACCUAAAAUGUAUCGGAGCUCAAGAGAUUCACCGAAGCGGCGAUUUUAAAUCAGUGAAAACAGAUUUAAAAGGUAGCAGAACGUUCUGUAAAUCGUUGACGUUUCAUUGUGGAAUGAAAUUGAGAUAUCAGAAGCGAGAAUGCUGACAUGAGUAACGACAAAUCAUGUGAAAAUCAUGAUGGCCGAAAGUCCUAGGUUUUCUACAGACCGUAUCUCGGUGUAGAGUGAAUCGGCCCCUAAGAGAAGAGCGACAGCUCGUUCUUGAUGGGUACAAUGACUAAGACUCAUUGAUGUUCAAUCAAGUGACGGCCAAGACCAUGCUCUCCAAGUGAAUGGAUACCUUGUAGUUUCUUUGCAAUUUUGUUCCAUUUACUUUCAAUUUACAUGUAAAUUGAACAAAAUGGAAAUGAAAUUGAACCACAUUGAAACGAGUGUGACUUGGUCCAGGAAAAAACUGGAUUAUGACAAAUUUUCAAUUUGUCAACGAUUCUAUUUUCUCUAAAAAUAGAAAAAAACACCGUACUUAAACCGACACUGGUGGACUUGUUGUAAAAACUAAGGCUAAGAGAGAAUCAUGUUGAAGGAACUCGGCAAAUUACCUCCGUAACUUCGGAAAAAGGAGGACAUGGAGCUGUUCUGACAUUUCUGUCAAAACUGCCCAUGUGGCACAGAAUAGGGGGUGGCGACUGUUUACUAAAAACACAGGACUCUGCAAAGUGGUAACACGACGUAUAGGGUCUGACACCUGCCCGGUGCUGGAAACUUAACAGGAGGGGUGCGUCUCCGUUUCUCUUGAAACAAGACAAGCUCUCAAUGCAAGGCCCAGUAAACGGCGGCCGUAACUCUGACGGUCCUAAGGUAGCGAAAUUCCUUGUCGGGUAAGUUCCGACCUGCAUGAAUGGUGUCACGACUUCCCCGCUGUCUCCAACAUGAUCUCAGUG